rnacentral:rRNA from 1 species
UGGGGAAUAUUGCACAAUGGGCGAAAGCCUGAUGCAGCGACGCCGCGUGAGGGAUGACGGCCUUCGGGUUGUAAACCUCUUUCAGCAGGGACGAAGCGCAAGUGACGGUACCUGCAGAAGAAGCACCGGCUGACUACGUGCCAGCAGCCGCGGUAAUACGUAGGGUGCAAGCGUUGUCCGGAAUUACUGGGCGUAAAGAGUUCGUAGGCGGUUUGUCGCGUCGUUUGUGAAAACCAGCAGCUCAACUGCUGGCUUGCAGGCGAUACGGGCAGACUUGAGUACUGCAGGGGAGACUGGAAUUCCUGGUGUAGCGGUGAAAUGCGCAGAUAUCAGGAGGAACACCGGUGGCGAAGGCGGGUCUCUGGGCAGUAACUGACGCUGAGGAACGAAAGCGUGGGUAGCGAACAGG